rnacentral:misc_RNA from 1 species
AAGUCGUAACAAGGUUUCCGUAGGUGAACCUGCGGAAGGAUCAUUAACGUAUCUACGACGGGGCCGCGUGCCCUGCUCCGGCCCACAAAGCCGUGCAGCGGGCCGCGUCCCCGCUCGACCUUCACAAACCCACUGUGCACCUUCACGGCGGACGGGAUUCCGGCUCGCGCCGGUCCCAGAAGCCGCAUACCAUAAACUCCAACUUUAAGAAUGACCUGCGGCCUCUGCGUCGCCUAACAAACGAAACAACUUUCAACAACGGAUCUCUUGGCUCUC